UUCGGCGUGAGCCCGAGGCGGUUCACGUGUCCGGAGCAAUCCAGAGGAAAAAUAGCCGACGUGGACGUCAGGAAGGAUGAGCUGCUCCAGAGGAUCAUCAGAGAGUAAGAGAAAGCACAUAAGCCCAGGUAGGCCCCUUGCUGCAUGAUGAAUUGGUGGAGGAGCUGCUGAUCCAGAGAACCAUGAGG